rnacentral:lncRNA from 1 species
GUGGGAGGAUGCAAUUUUCUGUCAAAAUGGGGCCAAAUCUUGGGGGAUCAUAUAAGGAGCUUUAUCUUUUUUUCCUUCUUUCCCUGUGUGAUGUUUGUUUGUCCUGCGGUCCUGCAAAUAAAUGCCAGGCAAAGGCUCAUGUAAAUGAAGACUGUGUGUUCUUUCAAGGAAGGCUGAGUUUACAAACAGAAUCCUUAAGACAAACAGGCCUGCUGGAGCCAUUGUGGGUGGGUGCCUGUGAAUUCCAGCUGAAGAGCAUGUUGGCCCCUGAGAGAGAUCUGCAGCGCCAACGGUCUCAGUUCAAACGGCGUUCCUCCAGCCAGUUCUUCAGAGAAACACCACCACGGAGGACGCUUUCCUUUUCGUUGUUUGAGUGGAGAAUCCAAGAAAUUGUGGACGUCUUCAGCUAUUUUUUGCAACUUCUUCUAGCUUUAUGAAGAAAUGUCUGGAGCCAAAGUUUGGAACAUUUUCUCCCUCCUUGUGAGACACAUUGGAGUUCUGGAAUAACAAACAGAUUGGAAACCCAUCUCUUUACAUAAUGUGGAAAUUCCUUCAUGAUUCAUCAGGUGACCCUGUUGGAAAGUCAAGCUUCCUUGUACAGCAAUCUCCAAGAUGCCUGGGACUCUUGACAUUUGGAUUUGAACAUUCUUUGGCACACCUGUGCACGUGCCACACUCCAUCCCUGCCAGGAUGCUUUUCAGUGUGGAAGGAUCUCCUCAACCUCAACACUCAGCUCAGAGGUCACUUCGUCUGUUUUGUUUCGUCUCCCCAGGCAUAGCCCCAGUACAUUGUUGUAUAUCGUAGUUGUAGGUCAUUCCAGUUCUUCUAUGUGGGAUGCUGCCACAGCAUGGUCUGAUGACUGGUGCAUAGGUCUGUGCCCAGGAAGCGACCCAGUGAACCCUGAGCAACCAAAGUGGAGCACGGGAACUUCACCACUUGGCCACAGGGCUGGCCCACUGGGUCCUUUUGGUUGUGCUAUAUGGGAUGCCGUCUCAGCAUGGCUUGAUGACUGGUGCAAUGUCAGUGCCCAGGAUCCAAACCGGCGAAACCCUGGGCCGCUGGAGCUGAGCGUGUGAACUUAACCGCUUGGCCAUGGGGCCGGCCCCAUGUACUGUUGGAUAAUGUUACUACUAUGCUACCUGUAAUGGUCCAACCAGUGACCUGUGCUUGCAAGUAAUAGCUGCCUCUGAGCCUCACCAGUGUGGCUGGCCAGCAUUCUAAGAAAGUGCCAAGGAGGAUGCCAAGGAUGAACACUGGAGAAGAAAUUUAAAAUAUCAAAGUGCAUUCAUAGAUGACAGAGGGUGAUAAGGAAGAAGAAAGAACAAAACUGACUGAGUUCAAUAAAAUCACUUUUGACAAGAUAAUUUGAAUUUAUACGCACUGAACUGGAAUUUGGGGACAGAUGACCUUCACACUACUCAACAGACAGGUGGAAGAGAGUAAGUGGCACAUUUGACAGUCUUUCAGGGCUAAGGAACAAGUAUGGAUGAGUAGAACUCACUCAAGCUAUGGAUGACUGUGAACAACUCUUGCUCUAAUUAAGACCCUGCGGGUUACAUCCUUGGAAUAUGGAUGAAUCAGGAGUAGAUCCUACAGCCAGAGAAGCUCAGCUUUGUACCGUCUCAAUCCCUAAUACUAGAUUAAGAGUUUCCUGCAGUAUGAGUACUUCCAGGCACCUAUCAGACUCAAACCAAUAGAUCCUUUCUGCAGGAAGAUAAAAUCGAUCUUGGUCUUAAGUUAUUUCUAGAAUAAUCUGAACAUGUGGAGACAAGACAACAUGAAGGAAAACCAGCAGAACUAUUGGGUAACAAAAAUAGACCCAUAGGAGCUCCAGAUAUUAUAGUAUUCAAACAUAGACCUUAAAGGAGCUCUACUUUCUAUGGUGAAGGAAAUAAAAGAUAAUUGAGAACUUUUCUAGAGAACUGGGGAGUGCAGCAAGAAUUCAAAUAAAAAUUCUAGAAUCAAAAUAAAGUAACAAAAGUGAUCGUAUAUGGUCUUAAUAGCAAAUUAUAUUCAGGUUAAACAGUGGAUAAGAUCCAGCUGAAAAAAAGAUAAAAAAGAUCCUGAUGCAGAUUCAAGAAGCCCUUUGAACUCCAAGCUGGAUAACUAAAAAGAAAAUAACACUUAGUUAUACUAUAAAAAUCUUAGAGCUGGCCACAGCUGGAGGGGAAAAAGACAGAUUGCCUUUAAAGGAAUGACAGUUAGACUGACGACUGCAUUCUCAAUAGAGGAAAAAAAUCCUGAAGACAAUAGAAUAAUAUAUUUAAAGUGUUAGGAAAAAACUGUCAACCCAGCAUCUAUACCCAGUGAAAAUAUUCUUCAGGAAUGAAACAUAUUUUCAGACAAAAAUGGAGACAAUUUAUCAUCAGUAGAACAGGAGUAUGGAUAUACUAAAGAUUGCUCUCCAAGUAGAGUGAAGUUCAGAAAUGCAGUAAGAAAUAAAUGGAUUAAAAAAAAUACAAGCAAAUGUGAGGCUAUAUCCAAUGAUGGCUGGUUAAAAUCAUAAUAAUGUCUUGUGAAUGUUAAAAUAUAUAUAGAAUUAAAAUACAUGAUAGUAGUGUCAUUAAAGUUGUGGAGAUGUUGGAG